UGGGGAAUAUUGCACAAUGGACGGAAGUCUGAUGCAGCGACGCCGCGUGAGGGAUGACGGCCUUCGGGUUGUAAACCUCUUUCGACGAGGACGAAGCGGUUUUGCCGUGACGGUACUUGUAGAAGAAGCGCCGGCCAACUACGUGCCAGCAGCCGCGGUAAGACGUAGGGCGCGAGCGUUGUCCGGAUUUAUUGGGCGUAAAGAGCUCGUAGGCGGUUCAUCGCGUCAAUCGUGAAAACCUGUGGCUUAACUACAGGCUUGCGGUUGAUACGGGUGGGCUGGAGUUCGGUAGGGGAGACUGGAAUUCCUGGUGUAGCGGUGAAAUGCGCAGAUAUCAGGAGGAACACCGGUGGCGAAGGCGGGUCUCUGGGCCGAUACUGACGCUGAGGAGCGAAAGCGUGGGGAGCGAACAGG
rnacentral:rRNA from 1 species